UCCCUGAUAACUCAACUGGUAAAAAAAUCUGCCUGCAAUGCAGGAGACCCUGGUUCAAUUCCUGGUUUGGGAA
rfam:Ovis aries breed Texel chromosome 18, whole genome shotgun sequence.